ACACAGAUCAUGGAAGGAUCUUGUUAAAAUGUGGAUUCUGAUGUGGUAGCUGUGAGGUAGGACCUUAGAUGCUGUAAUCCUAACAAGUUCUUAAGUGCUGAUGUU
rnacentral:pre_miRNA from 1 species